GAUGAACGCUGGCGGCGUGCCUAAUACAUGCAAGUCGAGCGAACAGACGAGGAGCUUGCUCCUCUGACGUUAGCGGCGGACGGGUGAGUAACACGUGGAUAACCUACCUAUAAGACUGGGAUAACUUCGGGAAACCGGAGCUAAUACCGGAUAAUAUAUUGAACCGCAUGGUUCAAUAGUGAAAGACGGUUUUGCUGUCACUUAUAGAUGGAUCCGCGCCGCAUUAGCUAGUUGGUAAGGUAACGGCUUACCAAGGCAACGAUGCGUAGCCGACCUGAGAGGGUGAUCGGCCACACUGGAACUGAGACACGGUCCAGACUCCUACGGGAGGCAGCAGUAGGGAAUCUUCCGCAAUGGGCGAAAGCCUGACGGGGCAACGCCGCGUGAGUGAUGAAGGUCUUCGGAUCGUAAAACUCUGUUACUAGGGAAGAACAAAUGUGUAAGUAACUAUGCACGUCUUGACGGUACCUAAUCAGAAAGCCACGGCUAACUACGU
rnacentral:rRNA from 1 species